rnacentral:rRNA from 1 species
AUUGAACGCUGGCGGCAGGCCUAACACAUGCAAGUCGAGCGGAUGCAGGGCGUUUGCUCCUGGCUUCAGCGGCGCACGGGUGAGUAAUGCCUAGGAAUGUGCCUAGUAGUGGGGUAACGCGUCGGAAACUGGGCGCUAAUCCCACACGAUCCAAGGGGGAGAACGGGGGGGAUCAUCGCCUCGUGCGCUUGCAGCGGACGAUGGCGGAUUAGGUAGUUGGUGGGGUAAAAGCCUACCAAGGCGACGAUCUGUAACUGGUCUGAGAGGAGGAUCAGCCACACUGGAACUGAGACACGGUCCAGACUCCUACGGGAGGCAGCAGUGGGGAAUAUUGGACAAUGGGCGAAAGCCUGAUCCAGCCAUGCCGCGUGUGUGAAGAAGGUCUUCGGAUUGUAAAGCACUUUAAGUUGGGAGGAAGAGGAGUUAGUUAAUACCUUGCGGUCUUGACGGUACCGAAAGAAUAAGCACCGGCUAACUUCGUG